CAAGCGUUGUCCGGAAUUAUUGGGCGUAAAGAGCGUGUAGGCGGCCAUACAGGUCCGUUGUGAAAACUGGAGGCUCAACCUUCAGAGGUCGACCGAAACCAUCUGGCUAGAGUCCGGGAGAGGAGAGUGGAAUUCCUGGUGUAGCGGUGAAAUGCGCAGAUAUCAGGAAGAACACCCGUGGCGAAAGCGGCUCUCUGGAACGGUACUGACGCUGAGACGCGAAAGCGUGGGGAGCGAACAGG
rnacentral:rRNA from 1 species